GAUGAAGAACGUAGCGAAAUGCGAUAAGUAAUGCGAAUUGCAGAAUUCAGUGAGUCAUCGAAUCUUUGAACGCACAUUGCGCCCUGUGGUAUUCCGCAGGGCAUGCCUGUUCGAGCGUCAUUUCAACCCUCAAGCUCUGCUUGGUGUUGGGCCCUGCCCGCUGCGGCCGGCCCUAAAGACAGUGGCGGUGCCGCCUGGCCCUGAGCGUAGUACAUCUCUCGCUCCAGUGCCCGGUAGUAGCCUGCCAGAACCCCAACUCUCGUGGUUGACCUCGGAUCAGGUAGGGAUACCCGCUGAACUUAAGCAUAUCAAUAAGCGGAGGA
rnacentral:misc_RNA from 1 species